GACCCCAGCCCAGGCGAGGGUACCCGCCGAGUUUAAGCAUAUAACUAAGCGGAGGAAGAGAAACUUACGAGGAUUCCCCUAGUAACGGCGAGCGAACGGGGAU
rnacentral:rRNA from 1 species